UACGUAGGGGGGCGAGCGUUGUCCGGAAUCAUUGGGCGUAAAGAGCUCGUAGGCGGCUCAGUAAGUCGGGUGUGAAACCCUCAGGCUCAACCUGGGGACGCCACCCGAUACUGCUGUGGCUAGAGUCCAGUAGGGGAGUGUGGAAUUCCCGGUGUAGCGGUGAAAUGACGCAGAUAUCGGGAGGAACACCAGCGGCGAAGGCGGCACUCUGGGCUGGUACUGACGCUGAGGAGCGAAAGCGUGGGUAGCAAACAGG
rnacentral:rRNA from 1 species